rnacentral:pre_miRNA from 1 species
ACGGGUCUUAUGCAAGUUUUGUAAAGUGUCACCUUAUUCUGAAGGGAUAUUUUACUCCGCUUACAGAUCAUA